GACGAACGCUGGCGGCGUGCCUAAUACAUGCAAGUCGAGCGGACGAACCGUAAGCUUGCUUUUGAUUCGUUAGCGGCGGACGGGUGAGUCACACGUGUGCAACCUGCCCUGUAGACGGGGAUAACACCGAGAAAUCGGUGCUAAUACCGGAGAACACGAUAUGUCGCAUGACGGGUCGUUGAAAGACGGCGCAUGCUGUUGCUACAGGAUGGGCCCGCGUCGCAUUUGCUGGUUGGUGGGGUAACGGCUUACCAAGGCGACGAUGCGUAGCCGAACUGAGAGGGUGAUCGGCCACACGAGGAGUGAGACACGGCCCAGGCUCCUACGGGAGGCCGCAGUAGGGAAUCUUCCGCAAUGGUGGAAAGUCUGGCGGAGCAACGCCGCGUGAGAGACGACGGCGUUCGGGUCGUAAAGCUCUGUUGUUAGGGAAGAACAAGUAACGCAGUAACUGGCGUUACCGUGACGGUACCUAACGAGAAAGCCACGGCUAACUACGUG
rnacentral:rRNA from 1 species